AAUGAGGAUACUCCUUGCAACGAGCAGACACUGAUCCUCACGAUACUGACGUGCAUCAUCUCCCUUGUCGGGCUGACGGGAAACGCGGUUGUGUUCUGGCUCCUGGGCUUCCGCAUGCGCAGGAAUGCCUUCUCCACCUACAUCCUCAACCUGGCCGCGGCCAACUUCCCCUUCCUCAGCAGCCAUAUUACAAGUUUAUCGUUACUCCUCAUCAAUAUCUGUCAUCCCAUCUCCAAAAUCCACAAUUCUGUGAUGACCUUUCCCUACUUUACAGGCCUGUGCAUCCUGUUCUCGGUCCCAUCCCUGCUGAGGAGCAUCCUGGAGUGGAUGUUCUGUGGCUUCCUGUUAGUGAUGCUGAUUUUGUUUGGUGUCAAACAUCGGAUUUCAUCACAGUCGAGUGGCUGAUUUUUUUAUAUGUGGUUCUCUGUGGGACCCGGAAGAUGCUGCUGACCAGGCUGUAGGUGACCAUCUGCUCACAGUGCUGGUCUUCCUCCUCUGCAGCCUGCCCCUCGGCAUUCAGUGGUUCCUGUCUACUGUGGUCCACUUGGAUUUUGAUGUCUUAUUUUGUCAUGUUCAUCUAGUUUCCAUUUUCCUGUCC